rnacentral:rRNA from 1 species
AUUGAAUGCUGGCGGCAGGCUUAACACAUGCAAGUCGAACGAGUGGCGGACGGGUGAGUAAUGUCUGGGAAACUGCCUGUUGGAGGGGGAUAACUACUGGAAACGGUAACUAAUACCGCAUACCAUCAGAUGUGCCAAGAUGGGAUUAGCCUGUUGGUGAGGUAACGGCUCACCAAGGCGACGGUCCCUAGCUGGUCUGAGAGGAUGACGAGGCAGGUUGGAACUGUGACACGGUCCAGACGCCUAAGGGAGGCAGCAGUGGGGAAUAUGGCACGAUGGGCUGGAGCCUGAUGGACCCAUGGCGCGUGUAUGAAGAAGGCAUGCCGGUUGUAGAGUACUUUCAUAGGGGAGGCGUUACCCGCAGAAGAAGCCCCGGCUAACUCCGUGCCAGCAGCCGCGGUAAUAC